CCAGAAUUCUUUGAAGCAAAGAAGGUGCUUUGAACAUGCUUUAAAGGUAUAGUCAUGACUUAAUGGAAAAGGAAGCAUUGAGCAAGAUCAGGUCAGGAUAGGGAGCCUUAGCUUUCGUCCUUUGCCUAAAAUAUAACGGGUUCCUGGUAAUCAUUCCCCAGCUCUAGGCUGCCAUCUGCAGGACAUACCUACUUUAUAAGGGAAUUAUACAGUUUACUGUGUUGAGUCUGGCUGCUUCUCAAAGGAAAUCUCUUUCAGGGCUUUUGAAAAGAACAUAAGAGCCUGCUGGAUGAGGCCAACAGCCCAUCUGGUCCAGUAUCCUGUUCUCACAGUGGCCAACCGGAUGCCUGUGGGAAACCAGUAAGCAGGAUUUGAGAAUAAUAAUAAUAAUAAUAAUAAUAAUAAUAAUAAUGUAUUACUUAUACCCCACCCAUCUGCCCAGGCCUCCCCAGCCACUCCGGGCAGCUCCCAACAGAAUAUUAAAACACGAUAAAACAUCAAACAUUAAAAACUUCCCAAAGCAGGGCUGCCUUCAGAUGUUUUCUAAAAGUCAGGUAGUUGUUUAUUUCCUUGACAUCUGAUGGGAGGGCCUUCCACAGGGCGGCUGCCACUACCAAGAAGGCUCUCUCCCUGGUUCCCUAUAACCUCACUUCUCUCAGUGAGGGAACCACCAGAAGGCCCUCGGAGCUGGACCUCAGUGUCCGGGCUGUACGAUGGGGGGGGAGAUGCUCCCUCAGGGAUACUGGGCCGAAGCCUCUCUCCUCUCUUGUGGUUUCCAGCAACUGGAUUUCAGAAGCAUUGCUGCCUCUGACUGUGGAGACAGAGCCUAGCCAUCAUGGCUAGGCCCUGUCCAUCCAGUUUGGUAGCCAUCGCCGCCUCCUGUAGAAGCAGGUUCCAUAAUUUUAUUAAUUUCUAUCACGUCACCCCUUUCUUGCCUUUUCCCUACAGCUGGCAUCUUGACAACAGGAUUUAGGAGAGAGCUUGAUCCUGGCCAUAUUGGCUCCACUAUUAGAAUGCCCUUUUAAAAAAUCCCUUUCUGUAGUUUGACGAAGAAUAAGAAUAACAAAACAAUUUUGAAAAUAUAUAUCAGGCUGCUGAAAUACUUGGAUACUCAUUCUGGAUAUAGGAUACCAAAGCUAGGACCCUGAUGUUCCAGUUUCUGAUUGCUCCAGAAGCUGUAGCUUCGGCGGUAGACCGAUGAACCGCAAUUUAUACAGAGAGGGAAUCCCCAGGUAUGCCCGCCCCCCAUCAUCUGACUGGACACCUCACUGGUAAACUGAUUGCAAGGAGAGUCAAGCUGCUCUCAAUAUAUUUUGCUCCACUUUGCAUGGAGGCAGGAGUGCCAGCUUGGCUCCACGACUGUGAGUGCUUGGGGCCAUGGAUGCCAUGCAUCAUGUAUUGCCCUGGCACUGAAAUUUGUAGAUGCCCUGUGUUGGGAUACUGCCAGGCAGAUGAAGGCAUCAGGCAGGCCUCCAGUUGUCUCCGGACGAUCACUGGUCUCCCGUGGAACAGCAUCAGUCAAUUAGCGACACAAGCCUCAGAGACGUUCCAAGACCCAUGCACCCUUUCAGCAGAGUGUGCAAGUCUCCACAAUGAAAGAUGCAGACAGAGAGAGUGCAUUGUGUGCAAGUCUCCACAAUGUGCAUUGUGUGCAAGUCUCCACAAUGAAAGAUGCAGACAGAGAGAGAGCAUAUUUACAGCUUUAUUCAACGUAGUUCAGAACAAAGGAAAAACAUGACUGCUUGCCUCCGUGUCCAGGAAAACAGCCACAAUACAAAAGCUAUAUACAAAAAGGCAUGUGACACACAACAGCCUUUUCCCUUUUAAGGUGGAACAGAACUAUAUCCUAACACCCUGCCCCUUCUUGGGGAUUUUUGUGGGUGCUCGGGCACCUAGGGCCCGAGAGAGUUGGCACCUGAAGCUGCUUGUUUACCAAUUAUUUAUUCUGUAGUACUCAGAUUUAUUUAUUUAAUAUGUUUAUUUGGAGUACUUGUACCCCACUUUUUAUCCAAAUAGGCUCCCAGAGGGGCUGACAUACAGUCCAUUAAAUCAAGGCUAAGUCUGUCCCCACCGAUGAGGCAUGGUGAGGCAACCGUCUCCAGAGGCGGGAUCCGGCCUCCAAAGAUUGCAUCACCUACUGCCAUGGGGCCAACAGCAGCUGCAGUAUACUCCUUGGAGGCCAAUCUGCCACCUCCUUGGCAAUGUCCCCAAAACGCUACCUCCACAGCAGCAUCUGGUUGAAUAGAUGUCAGGGAUUGGACUGAAGAGGAGUGGUCCCCCCCCCCACUUCUCCUGCACCUUCCUCACUUCCUCAGAACAGGAGGACAGUAUAGAUUUAGAACAGUGGUUUGCAGAAGGGUCUGCAGAAGGUAGAAGCUGGGAAAUGCUGGAAGGGGAACAGCAGGAAGAGGAGGAGAGACAGCUGACAGUGUCCAUGGAAAGCAUUCCUGACCCCCCCCCCCCAAGACCAGACGGGCAUUGAGGGUAUUAGAACAGAGAGCUCAGAGGCAGAAAGCUCAGAUUAACCAAGGCAGGAGUGACGUUGAAUAAGGGAGACGUAGGGCGGUGCGACUUUACUUGGAUCAAUGCCAUCAUUAGAAAGGCUGCAUUCCUUUGUCAUUCUCUGCAAACAUUGACAGUAGGCCUCAAGACAAUGGCCUCAAGACAGAAACCUGCCAGGCUAACGGCUUUUCCCCGGGGAGGCGCCUGAAAACAAAUUUCCUAAGGCGCUCGCUCGCAUGGCCUAGAAUGUUCUGCAGUUCUGCAGGUUUUUUCCUGUGCCCUUUUCCCAAGCCGCUAAGCCGCAUCGGCUGAUGGCUGCCGCCAACAGCCAUGCGCUAUCAGCUGAUCGCUGCCGCUGACCAGCUUAGCGCGCCGCUUUAUCAGCUGAUCCUGCCGCUAUCGCACGCUGGGCCGCCAUCAGCUGGGAUCCACCAAGCCUGCCAAGCCCCAGACACUAAUCCGCUAAACCUUGCUAAAUGGGGCUUGAGCCAAGUAAGACGAAACCCGCAAGACGAAGAGACUCGCGGAACGGAUUCUUUUCGUCUUGCGAGGCACCACUGUAAAUUGUUUGGUAAGAACUUUUAUCCUUUCUCUGAUUCUGGGCUGCCACCAUGGGAGGGAUCUGAUUCCCCGAACCUGACAACAGGAGGCACUGCUCGUCUCCUCCCAUCCCCUGUUCUAGAAGUUGAUAUUUAUUCCCCCCCCCUUUUCUUCCUGGUGUAGAUUUUCUUCCCAGGGGUGGAUGGGUGGAGACACACCAUUUUGUGAUUUGCCUCAGGUGCCAGAAUGUCUUGGGCCGCCCCUGAGCAAGUGAGUCCUUGCCCGCGGGCUUACAAUCUAAGAAAAAUAUGACACACAUGGGAGAGAGGACAGGGAGUGAAAUGUCGGGAGGGAAUCAAACUCGGGCCUCAAUUCUUAAACUGUUGUUCUUACAAUGACCAGCCUCCACAGUUCAGAGGUAGGAGGUGCCAGAUGGGGCUGGCUUUGGGCAAAGUGGAUGUGCUUACAUUGCUUUCUUUAGGCAUAUGCCAGGAUGAAUUAAAAAGCAGUGUUGUCAAAGUGUGUGCAAACACCUUUCCCGCUUCCCUCUCUUCCCUCUGCAUAGCUCAGUCUGUUAGAGAGUGGUACUGAUAAUGCCAAGGUUGCAGGUUCGAUUCCCGUACGGGACAGCUGUGUAUUCCUGCACUGCAGGGGGUUGGACUAGAUGACCCUCAAGGUCGUUUCCGACUCUUCUACAAUUCUGUGAUACCUAAUCAGCACCUGCCACAUAAAGCUAUGACCUGGGCUUGGUCUCUUAUGUGUGCUUGUACUGAGCAUAUUUGGAUGGAUUAGUUUAAACUGCUUUAGUGACAUCUUAUCUGCUAAGCUGCCAGGAGAUUCCCACCAACAUUUCACAGCUGGGACAUUGGGUUACACUAAGAAGAAGAAGCUCACCGUGAACCGUGAGUAAAACAAUUGAGUAGAGUUCAAAGUGAGCUUGAUGGAUGCCUCAAAGAGAAUGCUGGGAAUAUUCACUUCAAAACACAACUAGAAAGCAUAGGGUGGGUAUACCUUUACUUGGGUUAUACGUUACUUCACACACACACACCCUUCUCUUGUUCCAAACUCUUAUUGUCAUCCCUUCGACAGAGCUGGCAAACCUAUGGCCCUGCUUAUGUUGUUUGACACCAACACCACAGCUUUCACAUCCUUGAUUUAAAUACUGUUAUGGGAACUUUAUCCCUUCCAGGUCUUGAAAUCCCAAACAAUAGAGAAGCCAGGAAAUGCUUCCACAAUUUGAAUUUGGUGUCGGUUCUGUCCAUGGUGGAGCCACUGCAAGGAUCUCUGGAAGCGCGACACUCCCGGAGGUAAGCUUCAUCGUGAUUCACUAGGUUGUAGCUGGGCAUCCUUUGCCUGUGUAGAAUGUGACCAUGUCACUGUAAAAGGGCACAUAGCACCAACACAAUGAGGCCUACUAUGAAAACAGAGCCUUGGAGACACCUGCAAACUGCAAGAUUAAUGGGAAACCUAGUCCCAGAAUUGAUGGGUUAAUAUGGCAUUCAGCAUAGUUUUAGUUUUCACUGUUUUUAGGCAGGUGCAGCUGACAGGGUGGGGUGAGUCCGGGCGGCUCCACAGUGCCAGUCCACUGUUCCAUCCAAUCCUGGCAUUCCAAAAAUAGCAAAGGCUGUUUUUGACAGGAAAAUCAGCAAGCAACAACUGUGGUUGGCACAAAAUUCACUAGAUGUCACUGUCACACCACACAAGCACUGGGUAACUCAGAGACAGAGAGAGAGAAAGAGAGAGAGAGAGAGAGAAGUUUGCCUCACUUCCCCAUUUGUGUGUUUCUAUUCUUUUAAAAAAAUGUGUGUAGAGAGGUAGCAAAGAGAGAGUAGUGAGGUGCCCCUUUGGCAAGGUCAUAAAAUACACAUGCAAAUAUAAGAUGCAUGAACUCUCGCAAAGGUCCACAGAGCUUUGCAAAACGAGUACAAUGAUAAUUGCUGCUGACUGUUUGGAAGUACACAAAACCCUGUUUUGCACAGUGUGGAGCCAUGAACACAGGGAGAGGAAAAUAAGAUUUUGCUGGUGUCCUGGCCUCUGACCUCUGUGUACUUAAUGAUUCUGUGCAUGAAGCCUACAAGCUGUGCAGCCCUGUAUGUGUAGUCUUGGAUCUUGUAAAAACUGGCAUCCCUGACCAUGUAAAGAGAGCUUAUGCGUGUACUGUUUGUACAUGCGCAGCUUCUGUGUAUAAAGUGGUAGUGAAUGAAUGCAGUUGUGGAUUGGGAUAUUAGGUGCAAUACGGUUCACCUUCCAGACAUUCAGUGAACGGGAUUUCAAACCACAUGUAAAAGGCAAACAGCACAUGAAACCUGCAGUGUUAUGGCUGCUUCUCUACACCCAUUCCAGCAAGACGCUCCCAUGAAAAUAUAUCCUCACUCUGUUGCUAUAGACAGCCAAUGUAGUGCAGUGGUUAGAGUGUUGGACUUAAGAGCAGGGAGACAAGGGUUCAAAUCCCUGCUCCACCAUGAAACUCACUGGGUGACCUUGGGCCAGUCACUGCCUCUCAGCCUAGCCUACCUCACAGGGUUCUCUGAGGAUAAAAUGGAGCAGAAGAGAGCCAUGCAAGCUACAUUAAGCUCCAUGGAGGAAAGGUAUAUAAAUGUAAUAAGCAGGUUGUGUUUCCAUACAUAUAUGGAUGCACUAGGGCAGGCUUCCUCAACCUCGGCUCUCCAGAUGUUUUGAGACUACAAUUCCCAGCAUCCCUGACCACUAGUCCUGCUAGCUAGGGAUCAUGGGAGUUGUAGGCCAAAAACAUAUGGAGGGCCAAGGUUGAGGAAGCCUGCAUUAGGGGCUGCCGUCCCUGUUCACCAACCCUGCCUACUCACCAACCACCUUCCCUCACACCUGGCCAAUCCCUCUUCCCUUUAUCCCACUCACCUAGCCUCUCAUAGCUCACCCAAACCUCCCCUCCCCUCCCCAGCCCAUUCCCCUCCCCCCCAAGUUCACCCCAACCUCCAACCCCCUUUAAAAGAGGGGGGACUUCAGAUAGUGCUUGCUCACUCACCUGUUGUUCUGUUGCAAUACUGCAGUUGGCAGGGCCACCUAUUGGCAGCCACACAAACUGCAGUGUGACAACAGCCUUACAUUUUUUAUGCGUAUAGGAAGAUGUGCUUAUGAAAGCAUUAAGCUUCUAUCCAUUGUUUUUUUAAAACACAGACACAGUCAUUGGUAUGUUCUACACUCCCAUCUUAGCAGCUUUCAUUAUUGACCUGGGUUUUCCUCCCCAAGCUACUGAACACCUUUGACUUUGCUUGGGGAUGGUUGAUCAACAAAGCUGUCACAAUGAUGGAUUCCCCUUGAAUUAUUGCUUAAUUAGCUAAGCUGGAGGUAUAAAUCAAGUGCACUGCCAAUUGUCUUAUUCUGCACACAGGCGGCCAUGCUCAGCCUGGCUCUAAUGAAUUAUUAGCUCCUGCCACUGAGAAAUUGCAAUAUGCAAUCUCAAGUCUGUAAUGGGAAAAGAAAUCCAAAUUCACAUGUAGGGGCCAGAACCUGGAAUAGCUUUACCACAGAUAUUAAGCGAUAUGAAUGUGAGCAGUGCCACUGACCUCAACUGGAAUAUACGACCCCUAACUAUGUUACUUUCUAGCUAGCCCACCACAGAAAUACAGAAAUGAGAAAGGGCAAAAGCGCUGUAUCAACGACUGCCUCCUACAACAUCUUCAUUCUAUUGAAUUGCAGCGUGGACAGCCCAAUUUAUUAUUAGGUCACAGGGAAUGGCUCAAGUAGAUAAGAACUUGGUGAUAUGGUGCUGAGCCUCUGAAACUUUAGGGAGCAGUGGAAUUUGUGGAAAGGUUUUUUUCUCUGUGUGUGAACUCUUUGGCAGAAAGUGGUGGUGAUUUAUUAUUUUUCUACGCCACUUGGGCACAAAGAAACAAAGUGAGUUUCCCUGAAAACUUCCAAAGAAUUUGCACACCCUUGGAAAACUAAGGAGGAGCCCCUUCCCACCUGCACAUCCUCUGCCUGUAAUGUGGUGUUGAAUCAGAGGCGAUUUUAGGGUGGCGUGACCAGUGCGGUUCCACUGCCGCCAUGCUGUAAAGGUAAAGGUAAAGGGACCCCUGACCAUUAGGUCCAGUUGCAGAUGACUCUGGGGUUGGGGUGCUCAUCUCGCUUUAUUGGCCGAGGAAGCCGGCGUACAGCUUCCGGGUCAUGUGGCCAGCAUGACUAAGCCACUUCUGGCGAACCAGAGCAGCGCACGGAAACACCAUUUACCUUCCCGCCGUGCUUUUGAACUGCUAGGUUGGCAGGAGCAGGGACCAAACAACGGGCGCUCACCCCAUCACGGGGAUUUGAACCGCCAACCUUCUGAUCGGCAAGCCCUAGGCUCUGUGAUUUGGACCACAGCGCCACCCGCGCCCCACACCAAAACUAUGCUGUAGAAUGGAGUGUGAGAAGUGGGACACGUGUCACACAGAGCCCAAACCCAGCCACUAAAUUUGGGUUGGGGAUUUCAUCUUAGCUUUAUACUGUGAUGCUGCUGUUGCAAUGUCCCAAGUCUUGUGGGGUGGGAGAGAGGCCUUGCUCAGUGUCUUCUGGGAGAACCUCUUCCUUCUCACAACAAGGAGAAAGGAGCAGCUUGUGGUGCCCAGAAGCUGAUUCUGAGCUCGGUUGCCACUUGAGCUUACCUUAUAAUCAGUUCCGGGUACCAUUUAAGGACCUUCAAUUUCUGCACUUUGGUGCCGUCACAUAAGCAGAGCCUGUUGGAUCAGGCCAAGGCCCAUCUAACCUGGCACCCUGUUCUCACAGUGGCCACCCAGGUGUGUAUAGGAAGCCCACAAGCAGCACCCGAGUGCAACAGCACUUGCCCCACCAGCAAUUCCCUGCAACUGGAUAGGGUUUAAGGCGCCAGAGUGCCUUGAUCUAACAGGGUUGAGUCAGAGGGAUGUACCACAUCGUCAUGCAUGUUUUCAGUCUCCACUUUGUGACCCAUAACAGCCCACCUGUUUCCUUCCGCAGCAAAAGAGCGAGCAGAGGGAUUUGCAGCCAAAGCCCCAAAACCACAGACUGAGUUGUUAAAUGUUGGAGCCAGGUGAAUCUCCGCGAAUGUCUAUGCAUUGCUGCUUUAAUGGAAUUUUAAUGAAAUGCUAUAGAAUUUUCUGUUUAUUUGCUUUCAAAGUAAGCUCGCCAUGGAUUAUUGAGUGCAAAUUACACAGGCAGCCUGUGGAACUGCAUUCUGCACUGAUUAGCUGGUAUGCAAUGCAGCA